GUUUUUGUAGUUGAGAUACAACGGUGGUUUUUCAGGCCGCAAGUCUCUAGAAGAGCAAAAAUU
rnacentral:tRNA from 1 species